CCAGCGCGCUGCAGAGGCCCUCGAAAGAUCUGCUAAGCAAAGGCGCCUGCUAGCCCUCUCCGUCCCGCCCCCGAUCCAAGUCUGCUGUGAUUUAAAGAGGGUUUGGAGUGGCCUCCUCGACCGAGGCGGAGGAGCGCGGAUUGGAAAAGGAAAACCUCACAGCAGCCCAGCUUGCCGCCCCCGUGGAGAUCCCCAGGCUCCGCAGAGCCAGGCUGGGCUGCCUUCCUCCCCUCGCCUCUCCUCCUCCUCCGUCGCGUUUUCCUCCUCCCACUGUCUUCUUUUCUGCUUAAAGUUCGGCGACUCGGCUUGCCUCUCCUGGCCUUUCCCUCGGAAAGCGGAAGCCAGACCGCCCAGCGGCCACGGGCCGAGCGGCCCCAGCUCUAUCCCAGCUCGCAGCCGGACGGGCAUCCCCGCGCCCGCCUCCCUGCGCCGGUGACACCUCGGAACCCGGGCUCGGCCUCUCCACCGUCCUGCAGGUGUGCAGCCCUGCACGUCCUGCAGGUGAGCAGCAGGACGACCCGGGCGGCAAAGGAGAGCGGGCCUCUCGCCCCUCUCCCUGGGCCCCAGGUUUACACCACAAAGUUUGGAGGGUGGGUACACCUCUACCCGGGCCACUUGGUCCCCCAAACUCACGGCUGACUAAUCUUAUAUGACAAAAGCCUGUGAUGGAUUUGCUAUAUGUUAAUUCACAAUGCCCUUUCCUCCAGAAUUUAACUAUAAGUUAAUACACACCGGAAACCACGCGCAUACACGCCCGUUAAUGGGCUUAGGUAUUAGCGAGUCCUAACGAUGCAUACAAAUGUGCUCUGCGCUCUGUAGGCCCCUCAAGAUUUAUGGGCCUUGAGCUCUCUGAAGCUGUAAACAAGGAGAAAAAAAGAGAAAGCGAGAGAGACUGGGGGAAAGAGACAGAGGCCUGAAUCGCCACUCCAGAUUGUGGGAGAGAAGGGAUUCUUAUGUAUUUUCCUUGCCUUAGGAGCUUGGUGCGUGUGGGGUUUUGGCAUUGGUCCGGGGGUGGUGUGCUGCCUGAAUGCUGGCACGCGUGGGCAGCCUGUGGUUUGUGUGCUGGGGUAGGAGGACCUCUGCCUCCCUUGAGUCACUGUGUAGGGGCCUAAACAUAGCAGGCGUUUGUGGACGCGUUUGUGUGCGUGCACCGUGUUAGGUGGGAAUGUCUGCGUGCCCCACGCACAAGUGACAAGGAGGCCUCCCUCUGAGCCAGGCUUCUGUCCCCCAACCUGGUGAACAAAUCUCUAACAGCAAUCAUAAUAACAAUAAAUAACAGAACAAUAAUAAAAACAGUAGUUAACAGUCCCUCCCUAGUAGGAUAACAAUAAAAUGCCAGAGGAGGCAUUUUGAGGAGCGGGUAAAGGAGUCACCGUGGCAGAAUCUAAAAGGAAGACAAGAAAGGAAGGAAGUUAGCUUCUUUAAAUGUCUUCGAGGGGCUGGGGUUGGGAAUCCCCUCCCCAGGCAGGGUCCUUGGGCCAGAGGAGGGGAGGAAAGCCGGGAGGCCACUUUCCUGCUGCUUUUUCUCUGCUGUUUGCUUCGUGCGAGCAGGAAAGAGAUUCCACAUAUGGGGUGGUUUGUAGCUUUGUAGCUUUGUAGGCUUUCUGGAAACCCCUGUUUUAAAGAGGAGGCCAAACGUGCAGGGUCAGGCCGAGGGGCAGGACCACGGUCUCGCUCCCGGCCGCGGGGCGCAGAAGUGCCUGAGAGGACGAGCUUCGGGCCGGGGAGGAAGCAGGAAAAUAUUUAUGGCUGUCCGCCCAGGAGUGAGGAGAGCCAGGGAGUGAGACUGGGGCUCCCGCAAGCCCAGUGAAAGUUCCCUUCCUGAGGUCUUUUUAAAGAGAAGGGGGAGGUUGAGGCGCCCUGAAUUUUCCUCCUGGAGUUUGGAGCCCAGCGGAUUUCCGCAGAGGAGGCGAAGAUCGCGGCCCGGAUUCCUGCGGUGUCCACCUCGUUCUCUCCAGGCCUCUCCACUUGCCCCGUUCUCACCCACCAGGACACUGACGGAAGGGGCUUCUGGGCUGCCCCCCAUCCACUCCUGCUUGGCUUCCCAAAGUCCAGCGACCUCCAACCCUUCCUGGGGGGAAAAUACCUGUACCCAGGCACCUCAGCCCCUGCUAUGUGACCUGGCUCCCUCAGGACUAUGGUACAAAGAUGAAGAAAGAACAGCUCUCUCUCCCUCGGAGCCGUGUUUACAUCUAGUUCUACUGAUCCAUCCACAUCUGGAGGGUUUAUUUAUAACUCCUAUAACUCUUCCUGUUUCGAGGCACUGGUGGCUCUAUUGACAGACUGAUGCCUACAAAAUAUUGCUCUAUCUCUAACCAUACCUAAAUGUGCUGUGGUUGUAUUUACAGAUUUAUGUUUGAGGAAAAUAUAAUUAUUUCCAUUGUAUUUGUGCAUAUACAAUGGUUAUAGAAGCAGAUUUAUAUAUGGGAAAAUAUAUGACUCCCUUACAGCCA